rnacentral:rRNA from 1 species
CCUACGGGAGGCAGCAGUGGGGAAUAUUGGACAAUGGGCGCAAGCCUGAUCCAGCCAUGCCGCGUGUGUGAAGAAGGCCUUAUGGUUGUAAAGCACUUUAAGCGAGGAGGAGGCUACUUUAGUUAAUACCUAGAGAUAGUGAACGUAACUCGCAGAAUAAGCACCGGCUAACUCUGUGCCAGCAGCCGCAGUA